ACGACUUGUAGCAAUAUGCGAGAAUUUAAAUAUAAUUUUAGCUCUUAAGAGAUCAGAGAUAUUCCUCUAUCUGAGUGAAUAUAAGAAGGAGUACCAAACAUUGAAAACAAUUCUGACAGUUUAUUUGUAACAGUUGAAGCAGACAUGUCUGAACGUGGAAAAGCAAAUGGAAAACGUGAGAAUUCAUCAACGAUAGUAAGCCUAUAUUGAUUUCUGGUUGUUGAUGGGAGCGGUCUUUUAAAAUCUAUGUUUAAUCGGGACGAGUCGAAUUAGUUCCCAAAUUCUGUAAUCCUCUUUAAUUAUAGUCGAAUUGGUUCCCGGGGAUGGUCGAAUUGGUUCCCGUCAGUCAGGUAGGUCAGGUAAACAGAUUAAAGUAUUAUGAUAACAGAAAUGGCGUUUGUAAGUGUAUGAACAAAUUUACAAGUUCCAAAACGUUCAAAAACAAAACAUAUUUUAACAAUUUAAAGGCUGUGGAUAAAUAUUUCUUCGAGUAUUCAAGUACUUCCAAAACGAUGGAGAAGGCGCAUAGAACUUAAUGGGUACUAUGUCGAAAAAUUUUAAAAUUAUAUUUGUAAUUUGUCUCCAUUUUGACGCUUUAAUAGUAUUAAUCAUGGCCUCCUUGAUGUAUUGAGGCAACUUCGUUGUUCAGGCCUGGCGCAUCGUUAAGUUCGGCUGAUUCUCCACUGGCGCUGCAUUUAGCGGACUGACGUUUAUUUGACAAAUACCAUUUUUGAGGUUAAAGACUAAUAAAUUUGAAAGAUGUAAGUGUGCAUUCGUGAAAUACGUUGAAAAUGUGAGGAUAAUUCUAAAGUUAUGCCCUGAAUGAACGUUUGGAUAGUGUAACUUUUGCAGGAAAUCAUUUUACGAUCAUUUGGAUUUUUUAUUUUCAGCUUCAGAAGAUAUAUAAAUUAUUUUAAGGUGAAUUGAUUGUUCAUCGUUUAUAAGUAUUUUAAGCAUAACCUACGGCACUAGUACGCAGACACAGAUGCAGAGAAAACGAUGUUUCAAAGUACCUUUCAUUUAUUAUGCAUACUCUAUGGUUUUACCAAUGGUUAAGGUUGAAUGCGUUACAAAUCUGUGAUUUUUAAGACAUGGCUUAAGUUUUCUGAAAGUUCUAGUAAAAUGUACAAAGGAAGUCGUUUUUUUCAAAUGAAAUGGUUUAAAAAAGCUCGAUCCAGCGUUCUUCUGCUGCGUUACUCUCUGCUGGAGUGUCUCUGAACCGUCUGUUCCAAAGUCCCUGUCUGGACCUCUGCUCACUCUCAAGCACCGCUCGUGGAUCACCAAACUCCCGAAAAAAAUCUACUACUUUGUAAAUUUUUUUGAGUUUUUGUAUUUAGAAAUUAUCAAUUACAUUGUGGGCUCUUUUUCACCUUCUCUUAUGAUGAUUGUACUUGUUAAAUUCAAUUUUUUUUCGGAUUUAACCUCACAAAUGCUAUUUGUCACAUAAACGUCAGUGCGCUAAAUAGGGCGCCAUCUACGGUUUCAAAAAAACCGCUGAAGCUUAUCGAUGCGCCAGGCCUGAACAACGAAGUUGUCUCCAUACAUCAAGGAGGCCAUGGUA